rnacentral:rRNA from 1 species
GACGUAGGGCGCGAGCGUUGUCCGGAUUUAUUGGGCGUAAAGAGCUCGUAGGCGGCUUGUCGCGUCGACUGUGAAAACCCGCAGCUCAACUGUGGGCUUGCAGCCGAUACGGGCAGGCUAGAGUUCGGUAGGGGAGACUGGAAUUCCUGGUGUAGCGGUGAAAUGCGCAGAUAUCAGGAGGAACACCGGUGGCGAAGGCGGUUCUCUGGGCCUGUACUGACGCUGAGGAGCGAAAGCGUGGGGAGCGAACAGG